rnacentral:tRNA from 3 species
GCGCCCGUGGUGAAAUGGAUAUCACGACUGACUUCGGAUCAGUUAUUGUGGGUUCGAGUCCUGUCGGGCGCACCA